GUUUUUUAAGGCAUGGAUUUUUAUAAAGCCUCUUAUGAUGGUUUAGUCAACGAGAAUCUUCAUAAGAGGUUUUGUAAAAUCAUCUAUGUAAUUUUUUUUUAUAAUUUAUAAAAAAAUGUUUUGCAAAAAAACUGUUUUAGAUAAUUUUUUAUAAUAACUAGACUCCACCGCAAACAAUAUUCUAAAUCCAGACAAUUUUUAUAGGUUGUAACUGGUAUUCAAGUUUUGGAAUACUGUGAAUGAAAGGAAUUUGAUAAAAUAGAAUGCCAACUAAUAGAAUGAUGGAAGUUAUGGAAUAAGAUUAAUGGAAUGAAAUAAUUGAUAACACAAAUGGUAACCUUUCAGAGGAAUUGAAUGGAAUGAAAGUUACUUUUAAUUUAAAUUAUUAAGAAUAUGUUAAACUAUACCAAUAAAACGUGUAUGAUACUAAAAUAGAUUUCAUGUUGCAUGAUUUGUUUCUUCCUGAUCUAUUCAUCAUAUUUCUGUUGGAAAAAAAUUUGGAAAAAUUUAAAGAUUCAUGAUCUCCAAGAAGAAAGAACAGAAAAAUAAAUUUGGAGAAGUUCUCUCAUGUAAGCUUUGAAUAAUUAAUUAGAGUGUUUAAAUAAGGAGAAGGUGUUUCUAUCAUUUUUUCAAUAAGUAACAAUCGUAUACCUGAAUUAAAACUUCAAGAAUCUUUGCAAAUCAAUUAUUUGAUUCCAGUAAAUCAGUUACAUAAUAUCUAAACUUAAUUAAAAAUAUUUUUUUAUUAAUUUCAUUUCAUUCCAUCUCAUUCAUGUUGCUUUUUUAUUCUAAAUGAAUUAUAACUACAUUUCUUUUGAUUCCAUUGAUUCCACAUGAAUUAUUGGAAUGAAAUUUAUUUUGCAUUCCAUGUAAAUGGUAAAUUUUUUUUUUGGAAUCUAAAAGAAUAGGCCAUUCCAAAUAAUUUAAUUCCAAAAAAUACAAAUCCAGUUACACCCUUAGAAAUUUUUGGGAGAGUUAUAGUACCAUACCAUAAUAAUUAAAUCUGUGAUCUCUGGCAAUCGUCCGAAGAAAGAGAUCAAUGGGAUACAAACCCCUCAUAAUUUAUAAUAUUAUAAGAGGUAAGGAAAAAAUGCAGUUUUAUUGAAAGAAAGAAGACCACAAAUGUAAAUUGGAUACAUGCACGGCUCUGGUUGUCCUUCGUUUGUGGCUUUCUAUCACUCGCUCUUUUAUUUAUGGUAAUCUAUUUUUUUGGUCCAUGACUCCACGGCCGAUUGCUAAUUAUUACAACAUUUCGUACCAUUUAAUGAGUACUGUUAUUUUCACAAGUUAUUGAAUGUCUUGCAUAUUUUAUUAUCAUUUGUGCCAGUACAAAAAGUAAUGUUUUCUAUUAAGUUACUCUAUCCACGACAACAAGAGAACUCGUUAUCCUAGGGUUUAAUUUCAUGAGUUGCAAACCUUUCGUAUUACUUGACAACUAGGUUUUAGUUUAUAUCCGUACGUGAGAGGUCUACGAAAACGCAAUGCUAAAGCUCUAAUCACUUCGAAUAUUAAUCAAACGUCUGGGUAAAAGUUAGUUAUCGAUGCCAAUUUUUUUAAAGAAGAUCUUAAAAAUAUAUCCAGUUAUACCAGAACAUGUUUUAGGUUUAACUGUUUGGUAAAAAAAUAUAGCCACUAUAGUUUCUUUAUAUAAAUUUAAAAGGCAAAUUGUCAGAUUACCCGUCGAGUAGCAUUAGCUACAAAUGUGGUCGACAAGCCUCCUAUUAAGUGAAUUUUUCUUUUAUAAAGCCACCCACUACGUUUUUUUAAAGUUUUCUGAAAGUUUACCUUAAGUUUUCUUUUUCUCUUUCUCUAAUAUACAUACCUCCACAUAUUUAGAGAUACUCGACCAUGGAUGGCCGAGAAACUAAGAACACCUCGAAAUAAUGUUUCAAGCUGCUUUUAUAUCCCCCAAGAAAAUGGAGAGAAAAGGAAGAAACGCUUUCGAUGAUUAUCAAUUUAUAACGACUGAUAACUUGAUAUAUUCCUACUUGACAAAAAAACCGUGAUAUAUUUCGUUGCAAAUGCCUUGUUUUUUAGUUGUGUUAUGUGACCAGUACUGGUAUCUUUGUUUCACUUAUACCUAUUAUCAACAACAACGAUAUGCAUGUGAUUCAGUUAGAGAUCUUUUUUUAAUUGUCAUGUAUGAUAGUGAUUGUCUAGUUUGUUGUUUAAAGUUUUACUUUUCAUAAAAGCUAUUUAAUAGUAUUUUUUAUUACAAAUGAUUAUCUUGUAUUGACAUAUAAUGAAGUCGGUGUCGACGAACUUUACUAAACUACUUCUGGUCAGCUUACGACAUUCAAUUUGUUUUAGUUUCAAAUAAAAGAGUUAAGAAGUUGAUAUAUUAUUUUUUAAAUAAAUUUUUAAUUUUAUCUUAUAAGAAUAUAUAUACUUUUACACAUAUAAAAUAUUAAUCUUUGUUUUUGAGGUGAAAAUAGAGAUAAGUUAUAUAAAAUUUUACAUUAAAAUAUUUUGGAACAAAAUCUAAAAAAGAGUUGGCUAAAGGAAUGUCAAAUAUAGAAAACAAGAACCUGAAACAAUUAAUGGAAAAUGUGAAACCAUAUUAGAAUCAUUGGCUAAAACGAUCGGCCUCUAUCAAAAUAAUAUUUUAUUCAAUUGGCAUAUGUGGAAGGCACAUCUAAAUACUCUAUGCGUAGCUAGGUCCGUCCAUGGCCGAGUACAGUUGGACACAGAGAUAAAUACAAUAUGACAUUUGACGCGAGGCGUUUGGCGGAGUGUCAAGUUUUACAAACAGAUGAUGUAUCACUCUUAAACGAACCGACGACAUAGACUAAUCGUUACUCGACUUUCUUAGAUAUAUUGAUUCGUACUGCAUAAAGAUAUUACGGAUAUCUUGACAGCACAACUUAUUUUGUUUUCUAAACUAUUUUGGAAUUUAAGAAUUCUCCGAGAGAUGUUACACCCUUUUUUCCACUCUAUGUUAAUCGGUAAUGUUUUUUUUUUUUGAAACUAUUAGUAAUAGGUAAUGUUGUAGUUGGAAAUGUGACAAUAGAGAAAUUGUGAGUGGCAGUUUCUAACUGUAAUUGGCCACGGAACUUGGACAUAGACUAAUCGUAAGGGGUGAGUACUUUCUGAUACACAUAAUAAAUGCAACGAUUUUAUUUGACGAAAUCUAAGAAAAAAACAUUCCAAAACAUGAUCUCUUCUCUCUUCUGUGGGUUUCUUUUGCCAAGAUGACACCCAAUUAUAAUUUUCCAUUUACAUUCACAUAAUUCAUUAUUUUACCAAAAACUAAAAAUAUAUUCAAAUUAUUUAUCUGUAUGUUUUUCUUCAUAUUUUCCUCGUAUUUCUUAUUUAUAUGACAUAAACGUAUAAUCGUUAUAAAAUAACUAAAGCAUAAUAAUUGAUGGAUUGUUUAUUUAUUAAAUUUUAACGAUAUUUUGGAAUUUAUAUAUAAAACCAAAUCGAAUAUUUUACAAUAAUUGUAUAUUAUUAUUUUAAUGAAACAUAUUAUUCUGGCAUCUUGAAAACCUAUGGUUAGUACACUUCUGAUGUCGGCGAGACAUACGUGGCGAGAAUUGUGGAUCGAGAUUGAGCUGGCAGUUUGGUCGGACUGAACAAUAUCUAUUUUGGGUAAAGGUUCAGUGGCUUACAAAUUAUUAUUGAAUCAGAACUCUGAAAUAUUUAACUUGUCCACAUCAGUUUUUGUUGAAAUUUAUUUCGUACAAUUUCCCUUUUGUAUGUUUCUCAUGAUUAAGAUGCAAGUUUUGGAAAAUUUCCGCGACAACGAUUUAAUGUUUUUGUUUUGGGAUUAAACAUUGAAGGAUGGUCUCUUGCUUUACCAAAGCUGUGAUAAGUUUAGUGUCGACUGUAUAGCGAAUAAGUGAGAUUCGUUUCUGGAUUUAGACGUUUUGCAUUUGUAAACUGUUUAUUAAUUUAUUAUUGUAUGGGUAAUUUCACUUGACAAUUUAUUGUUACAUCCUAAAUAGUAUUUUUGGGGAUAAAUACAGCCUAAAGAUUGCUAAUCAUUUAUAAGACAUGAUUUUAAAACUGCAGUCUAAACACUUUGCAGAUACAACGAAUAUAAAGACAAAAAAGUCCAACGGGUAACUGCAGAAGAUAGUAGAAUAACUGACAUUGAUGGAAUACGACUUUGGUAAUAAAUUGCAACUUUUUGACGGAUCAACAUAAUAUAUGUAAAUAAUUGAAAAUUUGUAAGAGAACUUUCAUUUUUUUUGGCUAAAGACAUGAAAUUGUCACAGAAAUCUUAAGUAUUAUGAAAUACCAAAAUUUUUUUUGACGGUAAUUAGCUACAUUGCUUUCAAAUAGAAAACAAACUUUGAAAAUCAUAAACUUUUUUAUAUUUAAAUACUUAAAUUUGGUCAAAUACCAUAAAUACAAAUUUAUCAUGCAUACUUCAGCCAUUGUUCGUUUUAUAAAACCUAAAUACAAAGAAGAUGGUUUUAAAGUUGAGGUUAAGAUUUUCUAUAGUUUGUUUGACCUUACGAUCUUCCUUAUGAACUAUUCUUUAGUUUACUUUGAAACAAUCAUAUAAACAGGCUUUGCUAAUAAUUUACAUAUAAAAUUUCAAUUGCAUAGAAUACGACUUUGAUAAUAAUUUGCGAUAUUUUUGACGGAUCAACAUAAUAUAUAGAUAUAAAAAUUGAAUUUUUUACAUGCGAAUUAACUUUCAUUUUUAAAUUGUCACAUAAAUUGUCACAUAUAGAAAUCCCCAAAAGAACAAUUGACAGUAAUUUACUAUUUUGAUUUCAAAUACCCCAAAAACUUCGAACAUCAUGAAAUUUGUUACAUUUAAAUAUUACUUAAAUUUGCUCAAAUACCAUAACUACAAAAUAACCAUGCAUAUAUAUGUUUACCAAAAAAACAUGCACACACACACACACACAUAUAUAUAUAUAUAUUUUUUGCAACAGAAAAAUAACAAUCCAUAUUUCAACCAUUGUUCUUUUUAUAAAACCUAAAUACAAAUUAAGAAGAUUGUUUUUUAAAUAUAAUAUUAUUUAAUCAACCUGAGAACGGGAAAUCUGAAACGAUUACAAAAAAGAUUGUUUUAAAGUCGUGGUAAAGACUUUCUAUAAUUAAUGUAGAAAAAAAGACUUUCUAUAAUUUGUUUGACGAUACGAUCUUCCUUAACUAUUCUUUAGUUAACUUUGAAAGUAUCAUCUACAACAAGCUUUGCUAAAUUCAACUGCAACACAGUUCUUCUUUAUAUAAAAACACACACAAUCAAUAUUAUAUACAAAGUAACUUAUAUGAAAGUCGUCUUUGUAAAAUUCAAACCACUAAACAGAUUUUUGUAGAAAGAUGAUGAUGAUGGUUAUGGUAUGAUGAUGAUGAUGGUGGUGGUAUGAUGUUUAAUGUUAUGAUUUUUUUUUCUGAAUUGAAGAUGUUGAUAAUAUAAUUAUUAUAGAUUAUGACUAAUAGUUAAUGUCUUUUCGUUUUGAUGUUGCUACAACCUAAUCAAAUGUUGGUUUGCAGGUUUUAAAAUUAUAAGAAUCCGCAAGUCGCCAUUUUUAUAAAAAAUCGUUCAAUUUUACGAAUAGUAAUCAGCAAUUACCCUAUUGGUCGACGGACAUGCAAACGUGCAUCACCGUUAUGUUACGAUGAUGGUGGUGAUAUGAUAAGAAUGAUGAUGAUUGUGGAAAAUGAUGAUAAUGAUAUGAAGGUAAUGAUGGUGACAUGUAAUGAUAAAUAUUAUGUUUGUUCCUUUAUCCUAAGAUUUUAAACUAGAAUUGUCCACUAGUGUAAGAAACGUGUGAUUUGGUGUAAGAAAAUACGUUUUUUCUAAUUUAAAUAAAAAAGUUAAAAAUACUUUCUCUCUCCUUUAUCCUCUCCAAGGUUAGAACUACAUAUCAAUAUCGUUCCGGUGUCUGGCAGUGUGUGAACGUGCAUCCGGCGAUACAGACUUUUUCUCUUUUUCUUUUGUUUAGUCUCGAUUGCUCCUCCAUCUGUCUCACUCCUCCAUUUAAUAUGGCAUUAGAUCUGCGUUAGGGUUUUGUCGUCGGUCUGGUUAUUGCUUAGUCAGAUGGCAUUUCAGUUUUCUGUGGUUUCACGACGAAAGUGUGAUAGUGGUUGUAGUCGACGUUUAUGGCUUCAAGAGUAGAUAGUCUUUUUUCCUAGAUCUACUUUGGAUUUCGUCGCUUUUGGUGGAGGGAAGCUUGUGCGACUUUCAUUCCGGCGUCUGGCGUUCUCGCCGUCGUUUCUGGUCGUGGUUCAUUGUUCGGCGAAGGUGAAUGGUCUCAUGUCUCUUUGUAGUGGUGUCAAGGACCUUGUCUUCGUCACUUUGGUAAAUAUAAGUCAAGGACCAACACAUAAUUUUGAUAAAUAUUAUGAAAAUACAUGUACAUUUGAUUUAAUUAUAAUAAAAAAUAAUUAUACUUCAUUUUAAAUUUUAAAGAAUAUAUGUAAUUCAAUAUACUCACAAUAUGAAUGAUUUGACUAAUUCAACUUAUAUUUAAAAUCAAAGAUUUAACUACGAUAAGAAUAUAUAAUUUUAUAAGAAUAGUAAUUUAUUUUAUAAAUAUAAAUCAUAUGACAACUCAAAGCAUAUUAAAAAUAAAAAUAGAAUAUUAACCAACUGUUACAAUUUAGUUCUUUCGUAAAAUUUAUAUAUAUGCAUGAGACUUCAGAAUAUUAUCGUUUCGUUAUAUUAAUUUAUGUAAUUUGAAAUCAGACACUUUAGUUUAUUUAUUUUUAUUUCAUUCUAAGCACAAUAUAUCUUAAGUUAUACAUAAUUUUCAUAAAAUAUAUUCACAUAUCUAAGAUAACAACCACCUAAAUGCAAAUAAGAAAUUAACCAAAAUUAUUAAUAUAUGGAAUAAAAAUAUUACAGUUGAAUUCAUAGAUGCAAUCCAAUUUACCCAAAUGAUAACUAAAUCGACUGAAAAAAAAAACAAAAUCGAUUAGAUAUAAUAUAUAUAAAAUCAUAUGUAUAAUUAAAGUAAUAUAAUAUUAUUAAUAUAAAUGAUACAUAUAAAUUAUAAAUUAAUUUGAAAUUAAAAGUAAUUAACAAUCAAUUAUUAUAAUAUAUUUACUUUAAAAAUAUUUAUAUCCAUGCAUAAUCACUGGAAAAUCACCUAGUAGAGAACGAAAAAGUAUGUCAUAUUGUAAUUUUUUCAAGAUUCUUACUAACGAAUUGAACCGGUUGAACCGUCCGGUUUUGUUGUUGCCAUCUCCGUAAUAGUGCGGUGAGAAAUGCAGAGCACGCCGUUGGGGAAUGGGGACGACGGAGCUAUCCCCAUCAGCUUUGAUCAAGCAAAACCGUCAUGGCUUCUCUCGCCGACGGUUUCUGUUUCUCAAACUCCGUCUAGCAAAUCAGCUUGAGUUGCAAGUCUAUCAGCUUCUGAGCAGUCUCCACAAAAAGAGCUGAGCAGUCUCCACAAAACAUUACCUUACACCAACAAAAUUGAAACUGUAUCUGUAGCAUCAAUUGAAGCUGAUCCCUGAAGCAGGAUUUUAUUACAGGAGUCUUUUAAAGCCCCAGACUAUGCCUGCAGAGUGCUGAUUAUCUACCCAAGAUGCAUCAGUAUAGCAAACAAAACUGUCUUUUAUGUCUGGAGAGUAGAGUCAUGUAAGUUCUGAGGACAGACAGAAUUUGACUGAUAGAUGGAAGGGAGAGUCUCAUUCGAAGAGAUCGCUUCUAGUCGUAAUUGAUGAUCCAUGAAAGCUCCCAUCCUUUAACAUACGACAUGAUUUGAUUCGUCAGUAGACGAUAAAGUUGUUCUUUUCUUUUAGGUUUGUACUUGAUCUUUUCCCAGUGGUUUCACCUGAAAUUGUUGUCCGGGAAGAUAGAGUGGAGGACUGGUGGGAAGUGGCAGAAACACAUUGCACCUCCUUCUUCCCUGGACAUUCGUUCCCUCUUGAUCUUGUCCUCAGAGUUGAUAGGUUGAUGGCGAUGAUAAUGGGUUUCUACGUUCCACCAGGGUGCCUACCAGAGGGAUAUGUUUAGUCGCUGUGACAGUUAGUAAAUUGGCCACAACCAAAGGCAUCUCCAGAUACGAGAGUACUGAUCUGGAAAGCAGAGGGUUAAGCCACGAACUGGGGAUGUCGAGCUAUACGGAGGCCACGAAACUUUAUAAAGAUCAAAGUUACAGAUGCAUCAAGAUCCCUGAAGGAGCAAAUUGGCCACAACCAAAGACAUCUCCAGACACCAGGUUUAACUUCAUGAUGAAGCUCUUGAACAGCAAUGGUACACAAGCCCUUGAACAGUUCCUUUAAUUCCAAGGCAAAAGGGAAUCGAAUUCUGUUUGCUGAUGAAAAUAGGUAUUGAUUAUGUAAAUAUAUAUGUUAGUGGUGCUUGUGGUCUACGUUUGGUCGUCUUGUGUAAAUGCUACAUGUCUGCUUUUUUCGUAUACAAAUAAAAAGUUUAUACUA